rfam:Sphaeroforma arctica JP610 cont1.5349, whole genome shotgun sequence.
CUCCGGAUGGUCUAGCUGGUUAUGACGGUUGCUUCACACGCAACAGGUCGGCGGUUCGACUCCGCCUCUGGAAA